rnacentral:rRNA from 1 species
GCAAUACAGCAAGGAGACAGGUGCUGCAUGGCUGUCGUCAGCUCGUGUGGUGACAUGUUGGGUUAAGUCCCGCAACGAGCGCAACCCUUGUCUUUAGUUGCCAGCAUUAAGUUGGGCACUCUAAAGAGACUGCCGUGGUUAACACGGAGGAAGGUGGGGAUGACGUCAAGUCCUCAUGGCCUUUAUAUCCAGGGCGACACACGUGAUACAAUGGACGGUACAAAGGGACGCCAAGAGGCAACUCGGAGCUAAUCUCAAAAAGCCGUUCUCAGUUCGGAUUGGAGUCUGCAACUCGACUCCAUGAAGUUGGAAUCGCUAGUAAUCGCGGAUCAGCACGCCGCGGUGAAUACGUUCCCGGGCCU